CCUACGGGAGGCAGCAGUGAGGAAUAUUGGUCAAUGGGCUUACGCCUGAACCAGCCAAGUCGCGUGAGGGAAGACUGCCCUAUGGGUUGUAAACCUCUUUUGUCAGGGAGCAACGCCGGCUACGUGUAGCCGGCCUGAGAGUACCUGAAGAAAAAGCAUCGGCUAACUCCGUGCCAGCAGCCGCGGUAAUACGGAGGAUGCGAGCGUUAUCCGGAUUUAUUGGGUGUAAAGGGCGUGCAGCCGGAGAGACAAGUCAGAUGUGAAAUCCACGGGCUCAACCCGUGAACUGCAUGUGAAACUGGUUCCCGUGAGUGUCGGAGAGGUAAUCGGAAUUCCUUGUGUAGCGGUGAAAUGCGUAGAUAUAAGGAAGAACACCAGUGGCGAAGGCGGAUUACUGGACGAUAACUGACGGUGAGGCGUGAAAGCGUGGGGAGCAAACAGGAUUAGAUACCCUGGUAGUC
rnacentral:rRNA from 1 species